GACUGGCGGGACUGCGCGGAGGCGACUGCAGACGUAUCGGGGGUCCGGAGCCUGUCGCGGCUGCUAAGCGCUCGGCGCCUGGCGCUGGCGCUGGCCAAGGCUUGGCCAACAGUGUUGCAAACAGGAACCCGAGGUGUUCACUUCACUGUUGAAGGAACGAGAGGGCAUCUGCUAAAGUUUCAGAUUCCAUUUCUGCUCAGUAUCCAGUAGUGGAUCAUGAAUUUGAUGCAGUGGUGGUAGGCGCUGGAGGGGCAGGCUUUGCGAGCUGCAUUUGGCCUUUCCGAGGCAGAGUUUGAUACAGCAUGUGUUACCAAGCUGUUUCCUACCAGGUCACACACUGUUGCAGCGCAGGUUGGAAUCAAUGCUGCUCUGGGGAACAUGGAGGAGGACAACUGGAGGUGGCAUUUCUAUGACACCGUGAAGGGCUCCGACUGGCUGGGGGACCAGGAUGCCAUCCACUACGUGACGGAGCAGGCCCCCACUGCCAUGGUCGAGCUAGAAAAUUAUGGCAUGCCGUUUAGCAGAACUGAAGAUGGGAAGAUUUAUCAGCGUGCAUUUGGUGGACAGAGCCUCAAGUUUGGAAAGGGCAGGCAGGCCCAUCGGUGCUGCUGUGUGGCUGAUCGGACCGGCCACUCAAUAUUGCACACCUCAUAUGGGAGGUCUCUGAGAUAUGAUACCAGCUGUUUUGUGGAGUAUUUUGCCUUGGAUCUCCUGAUAGAGAACAGGGAGUGCCGUGGUGUCAUUGCACUGUGCAUAGAGGACGGGUCCAUCCAUCACAUAAGAGCAAAGAACACUGUUGUUGCCACAGGAGUCAAGAAACUUUUCUUUUGAGCUAUUGACAGCUUUUAACAAGUUAUUAUACUCCUAUGAACAAAAUUUGGAGCAUAUUUGUUUCUCUCUGCCUGAUUUCUCCUGAAUUUGGAAACUAUUUGACAUGAGGAUUCUCAACCUGAUAAAAAUGAGCUUUCCUAAUAACUCAAGACCCAUCUGCCUAGGAAUAAACCAUCCCAGCUGUGAGAGACCAGACGAAACCUGAGACCAGAGACUCGUUUUCUUCUAAAAUGCUUUCUCCAAAAGAUUUUUAAACAGAAAAAGGGGGAAAUGUGAAAGGAAAAGAAAACUUGAGGCCCCCAAAAUCACUAAGCUAAAAGGAAAAGUCAAGCUGGGAAUGGCUUAGGGCAAACCUGCCUCCCAUUCUAUGCAAAGUCAUCCCUCCGUGCACUGAGAUAAAUGCUUAUCUAAUUGCCUCCUUUGGAGAGGCUCAUCAGAAACUCAAAAUAAUGCAACCAUUUGACUCUCACCUACCUGUGACCUGGAAGAUCCCUCUCUGCUUGAGUUGUCCUGCUUUUCUGGAUGGAACCAAUGUUCAUCUUACAUAUAUUGAUUGAUGUCUCAUGUCUCCCUAAAAUGUAUAAAACCAAGCUGUGCCCUGACCACCUUGGGCACAUGUCGUCAGGACCUCCUGAGGCUGUGCCACAGGCAUGCAGCCUCAACCUUGGCAAAAUAAACUUUCUAAAUUGACUGAGA